rnacentral:rRNA from 1 species
UGGGGAAUCUUGCACAAUGGGGGCAACCCUGAUGCAGCGACGCCGCGUGAGCGAUGAAGCCCUUCGGGGCGUAAAGCUCUUUCGACCGGAACGAUAAUGACGGUACCGGGAGAAGAAGCUGCGGCUAACUACGUGCCAGCAGCCGCGGUAAUACGUAGGCAGCAAGCGUUGUUCGGAGUUACUGGGCGUAAAGAGUGCGUAGGCGGUUUUCUAAGUUCGGUGUGAAAUCUCCCGGCUUAACUGGGAGGGUGCGCCGAAGACUGGGAAGCUGGAGUGUGUGAAAGGCAGGCGGAAUUCCUGGUGUCGCGGUGAAAUGCGUAGAUAUCAGGAGGAACACCGGCGGUGUAGACGGCUUGCUAGACCAUAACUGACGCUGAGGCACGAAAGCGUGGGUAGCAAACA